GAUGAACGCUGGCGGCGUGCCUAAUACAUGCAAGUCGAGCGAACAGACGAGGAGCUUGCUCCUCUGACGUUAGCGGCGGACGGGUGAGUAACACGUGGAUAACCUACCUAUAAACCUGGAAUACCUUCGGGAAACCGGAGCUAAUACCGGAAAAUAUAUUGAACCGAAGGUUUCAAUAGUAAAAGACGGUUUUCCUUUAACUUAUAAUUGAACCCGCGCCGCAUUAGCUAGUUGGUAAGUUAACGGCUUACCAAGGCAACGAUGCGUAGCCGACCUGAGAGGGUGAUCGGCCACACUGGAACUGAGACACGGUCCAGACUCCUACGGGAGGCAGCAGUAGGGAAUCUUCCGCAAUGGGCGAAAGCCUGACGGAGCAACGCCGCGUGAGUGAUGAAGGUCUUCGGAUCGUAAAACUCUGUUAUUAGGGAAGAACAAAUGUGUAAGUAACUAUGCACGUCUUGACGGUACCUAAUCAGAAAGCCACGGCUAACUACGU
rnacentral:rRNA from 1 species